GACGAACGCUGGCGGCGUGCUUAACACAUGCAAGUCGAACGGUAAGGCCCCUUCGGGGGUACACGAGUGGCGAACGGGUGAGUAACACGUGGGUAAUCUGCCCUGCACUUCGGGAUAAGCCUGGGAAACUGGGUCUAAUACCGGAUAUGAACUCCUGCCGCAUGGUGGGGGUUGGAAAGUUUUUCGGUGCAGGAUGAGCCCGCGGCCUAUCAGCUUGUUGGUGGGGUAAUGGCCUACCAAGGCGACGACGGGUAGCCGGCCUGAGAGGGUGAUCGGCCACACUGGGACUGAGACACGGCCCAGACUCCUACGGGAGGCAGCAGUGGGGAAUAUUGCACAAUGGGCGAAAGCCUGAUGCAGCGACGCCGCGUGGGGGAUGACGGUCUUCGGAUUGUAAACCCCUUUCAGUAGGGACGAAGCGCAAGUGACGGUACCUGCAGAAGAAGCACCGGCUAACUACGUGCCAGCAGCCGCGGUAAUACGUAGGGUGCGAGCGUUGUCCGGAAUUACUGGGCGUAAAGAGCUCGUAGGCGGUUUG
rnacentral:rRNA from 1 species